AAAAGAAAGUCGGCGUCUGUUCCAACAGAUCCUUUCUGGUGUGGAUUAUUGUCACAGGCAUAUGGUGGUCCAUAGAGAUUUGAAACCUGAAAAUGUCCUGCUUGAUGCACACAUGAAUGCAAAGAUAGCUGAUUUUGGUCUUUCAAACAUGAUGUCAGAUGGUGAAUUUUUAAGAACAAGUUGUGGCUCACCCAACUAUGCUGCACCAGAAGUAAUUUCAGGAAGAUUGUAUGCAGGCCCAGAGGUAGAUAUAUGGAGCAGUGGGGUUAUUCUCUAUGCUUUAUUAUGUGGAACCCUUCCAUUUGAUGAUGACCAUGUGCCAACUCUUUUUAAGAAGAUAUGUGAUGGGAUCUUCUAUACCCCUCAAUAUUUAAAUCCUUCUGUGAUUAGCCUUUUGAAACAUAUGCUGCAGGUGGAUCCCAUGAAGAGGGCCACAAUCAAAGAUAUCAGGGAACAUGAAUGGUUUAAACAGGACCUUCCAAAAUAUCUCUUUCCUGAGGAUCCAUCAUAUAGUUCAACCAUGAUUGAUGAUGAAGCCUUAAAAGAAGUAUGUGAAAAGUUUGAGUGCUCAGAAGAGGAAGUUCUCAGCUGUCUUUACAACAGAAAUCACCAGGAUCCUUUGGCAGUUGCCUACCAUCUCAUAAUAGAUAACAGGAGAAUAAUGAAUGAAGCCAAAGAUUUCUAUUUGGCGACAAGCCCACCUGAUUCUUUUCUUGAUGAUCAUCACCUGACUCGGCCCCAUCCUGAAAGAGUACCAUUCUUGGUUGCUGAAACACCAAGGGCACGCCAUACCCUUGAUGAAUUAAAUCCACAGAAAUCCAAACACCAAGGUGUAAGGAAAGCAAAAUGGCAUUUAGGAAUUAGAAGUCAAAGUCGACCAAAUGAUAUUAUGGCAGAAGUAUGUAGAGCAAUCAAACAA
rnacentral:sRNA from 1 species